CUCAGCCCCUUCCUUAAUUCCUUCCAGUUAAUAAAACCAGGAGGAGUGAGGCAGAGGGAGCCUGACAGGAAGUGAGGACUCCAGACUUCAAACACAAACAUUAUGAAAAACAAGCAACAUCUGCAAACAACACUCUUGCUGAGGGACUUCCUGGACAGUGGCGUGGAACGAAGCAGGCUUCAUGCACCGGGCCACCUGAGGCGCAAGCCUUCGGCAGUCUUAAUAUUGCGAUGAUCCGAGAAAAUGACUUAAGGGAUGAGCGAAGGAAUAUUCCACUCAUCUCGCUAGGUGCCGGGUACCCAAUCACGGGGUGACCCACUUUGGAAAGGCCUUGCAAGGCAGCAGAGGGACUGACUCCCCAUGUGAACAACAUAAUGCUGCUUUGGCAAAAUGUAAACAACCCCCCUUCCCCCCGCCCCCCCCCCCCCCUUGGGACUGGCCUGGUCUGUAUCUGGUUUGACAGAACUUUCUGGCUGCUUCUGAUUGCCUCUGCCACAUCCUGGAAAUUCUAGAGGGACAGACCAUACAGGAGCUGCUGUCUGUGCCUGGUGGAAUCUUAAACAGAAUGAAACAGGCCCCCAACAAUCAAUAUUACCGACAAAUUAAUCUCUGCAAAUAAACUGCUUUGCACGUCAAGACUGUUCCAAGUCCCCAGAAUAAUUGUGUCAUGGAAGUUGAGGUCUUUGCACCAAUUCCGUGGCAUUUUUAUUUUCUCCUGGGCAGUGGCAGUAGCAGCAGCAGCAGCAUUCAAGGCUGUCUGAAGAAUGAGGCUCAGAGAGUCAGUCCCCCCAGCGGCCUCGACCUCCAUCUCUGCUUAAGACUGUUAAGGCAUCUACCCUUUCUGGAGGGAAGUGAGAGGACAGUCAGAAGUUGUCUAUACUGCCCAGACUCAAAAAAAUCACUGGAAGUUCAGCUUCAGCAAGGCUCCUCAAUAUGAGAAUUUGGGUUCAUUUUCCUCUAAGGAACAGAAAGGGCAUGGGAUAUUUUUUUGUGACUUCCUAAAUCCCUGAAGCUGUCAGAAAGGAGGCCAGAGGAAAGUGCUCCGUACCCAGUCUACACCAAUAUUAAAUCUUGGCCCCCUCUCUACUAUCUGAUGACCACCACCCCCACAGGCAGCCUUCUGCUGUGCAGUAUCUGGCCCCUCCCCUCUUCUGUCAUCCAGCUCUGAAGGAUUAACAAGUGGAAGGCAGUGAGGGACAAGCCAUCGGGCAGAGAUUCCGUUCCCACUGAUCUGGGGUCUGAGCUACCUGGGAAUCUCAGAGACAAGAACAGCCCAGGAACAGCCCAUCGCAGCAGGAAUCAGGAGUCGCCAGCCUAUAGUUGUCAUUAGUAUGUAAAUUUUAAAAGCUCAGUCAAAAAUAUCAAUACCUCCCACUUAAUUUAUUACUAUAUAAAGAUGGAUGGUGGCGAAGCAUAUCAUUGAUUUUCAGAGCUCUUAAAAAAUGGCAAGGAAGAAAAUAGUCCAAGACAACACAAAACACUGUGUCUCAAAAUUAAUCACUGUGUUUUUUAAACACACACACACACAUACACACACACACACACACACACACACACACACACACACACACAAAUGCACUGUACAGCAGCCCGUAUGGUUCAAUCUUAUUUGAUUGCCUAUUUUGAAAAUGAAGAGAUGGAGCAGGGCAUUUAUGUAAAGAGCUCUCCCGCUCAGAAUGGAUUAGAUGGAGCAGGUUAGCAUUUUUACUGUAUCGACAGCAGACUCUUAGACAGCCACACUCCAGCCUGGCUCUUGAGAGGAAAUCGAAGUGAAUGCAGUCCCUUGGCAGAGCCAGGAAGGAUAACCUAUCAGUCCCCAGACCUCAGGCAGCCUGGCGUUCACUGGCCAGCUUAGGCCAGGCUGGCUCCUCUUAUUCUUUGACGCAGUAAGACUGCCAUUCUCCUGUUUAUUGAAGUGUUAGAAGAGAUAUUCAUGAUCAUGGAACUCAUAAGCAGACUCAUCACCAGGUUCCAGAAAAGCCCGUAACCUGAGAAUUCCACGUGUGUCUGAAAUGACAAGGAAACCAGGGCCUGAUCAUCCCCUGUGCUGCCGAAGGGUCACUUCCCUGCCCUUGACAUUUGGAGAUGUUUGCAUUUAUACAGAGGGGGAAGGGGCUGGAGAAGAGAGAUUUUUGAAGAGGCAGAGAAGACAAUAAAGGUGCAGUUGGUGGAAAUCUCUCACUUUGCCUGGUUUUUGUUUGGAUUCUCAAAAGUGUUUUGGCUCUGUGUCUUUUGAAUAAACAGCCACCCGGUUAAAGGAGAUGAAUGAAAGAACGUUGGGGUGGAGCAGAUGCAGCCCGGAGAAACGCUGCAAAUACCCCCUAGAGGACCCGCGCUCCCAAAGAGGAAGAAUAUUUGUCUUCAAUAGCAGUAAACCCAGGAUGUUUGUCCUCCUCUUCCCAGAGUCCCGGGUCCUCCCUCAAACCUCCUCAGCAGAUCCUGGGAAUGAUGGGCGAUUGCCGUGGGCUUGCCAGGGUCUCUGUGGAAACUUAUCUUCUUAUAAAGACGUUCUACCUGUCAUCAGGCUACGAGCCACAGGCAACUCUCCAGGUUCAUUACACUGGAAAUAUGCAGCUGGUAGAUGCCUCCUGUCCUGAGAACCCCAGUCUCCAUCAGGGGCUGCUUUCCAGGGUCCUUGCCAUCACACGGACGCUUCUGAAUUAUCCAGACCACGUCUACUGCAGUGAGCAGUGGCGUACCUUUCCUCCUUGCUUUGUUUAUGAAAAUAUGCAUCAACUUACUAGAUGUCUUCUUGCUAUAAUUGGAUUUAAUUCAUUAUCUUUCCUUUCAAUAAAAUCACAGCAAAACACGGGAAUAUAAAUGUGCAGGCUAAUUGCUUAUGGAAAUUCAGGGGCCGUCGUUGGUAUAAAUUUACCCCAUACGAG
rnacentral:lncRNA from 1 species